rnacentral:rRNA from 1 species
AGUGAACGCUGGCGGUAGGCCUAACACAUGCAAGUCGAACGGCAGCACAGUAAGAGCUUGCUCUUACGGGUGGCGAGUGGCGGACGGGUGAGGAAUACAUCGGAAUCUACUUUUUCGUGGGGGAUAACGUAGGGAAACUUACGCUAAUACCGCAUACGACCUACGGGUGAAAGCAGGGGAUCUUCGGACCUUGCGCGAUUGAAUGAGCCGAUGUCGGAUUAGCUAGUUGGCGGGGUAAAGGCCCACCAAGGCGACGAUCCGUAGCUGGUCUGAGAGGAUGAUCAGCCACACUGGAACUGAGACACGGUCCAGACUCCUACGGGAGGAAGCAGUGGGGACUAUUGGACAAUGGGCGCAAGCCUGAUCCAGCCAUACCGCGUGGGUGAAGAAGGCCUUCGGGUUGUAAAGCCCUUUUGUUGGGAAAGAAAAGCAGCAGGUUAAUACCCCGCUGUUCUGACGGUACCCAAAGAAUAAGCACCGGCUAACUUCGUG